rnacentral:rRNA from 1 species
GACGAACGCUGGCGGCGUGCUUAACACAUGCAAGUCGAGCGGAGCGGCGAACGGGUGAGUAACGCGUGAGUAAUUGCCCCCCUCUCUGGGAUAACAGUUGGAAACGGCUGCUAAUAUCGGAUAGUGGGGGAUGGGUCGGGUUCUAUCAGCGUGUUGGUGAUGUGGUGGCCUACCAAGGAGACGACGUGUAGCCGGCCCGAGAGGGGGACCGGCCACAGUGGUCUGGGGUGCGGCCCGAACUCCUACGGGAGUCAGCGGUGAGGAAUAGAGCACGAUGGGGGGAGCCCGGGUGCAGCGACGCCGCGUGGGGGAUGACGGCCUGCGGGUAGUAAACCGCUUUCGGCCAUAACGCGGUAGUGGCAGAAAAAGCACGGGCUAACUACGUGCCAGCGGCCGCGGUAAUA